GUGAGUGACGUACAUGCCGGUCGCGAAAUGUUUUAGCAUGGAUUGCAGAGAUUCAGACUUUCCAAAUAUACUUUAUUUGUAUGCUACAGUUUAGGUAUGUUUUAGUAAUCGCGUAAUAUAUAUUUUACUGUACACGUUGAUCGAUAGAGUAUGAGGUGUGAAAAUCUGUUAGUUUGUCUAACUAGCUAAUCUUACAUGAAAUAGCUAGCUAGCUAACAUAAACUGGUCAGCAACUUUAGCUACAAAAUCCUAUUCACAGUGUAAAUGAUGGGGGAGGAGACCCAGUCCCUUCACCUGGAUGAGGGACUGUCUGUAAAGGAAGAGGAGUUAGGACAGGCAGAGGGAAAGAUGAACCAAGUGGAGGAUGAACAACCAGAGGAGGUUGAAGAGGAAGAUGAGGAGGACGAAGAAGCAUUACCACACUCGGAAUUCCUGGACAUAUUUGAAGAAGGACUGGCUCGCCUUGUACAGGACCCUCUACUCUGUGACCUUCCCAUUCAGGUGACUCUGGAGGAGGUGAAUUCCCAGGUUGCUCUGGAGUAUGGCCAAGCCAUGACUGUCCGUGUAUGCAAAGCGGAUGGCGAAGUAAUGCCCAUAGUGGUGGUGCAGAAUGCUAUGGUGCUGGAUUUGAAGAAAGCCAUUCAGAGGUUCAUGGAGCUGAAACAGCAACGGGAGGGUGGGGUGAAGCACGUCAGCUGGAGAUACGUAUGGAGAACCUUUCAUCUCAUAUUUCAAGGGGAGAAGCUUGAUGAUGACAAAAUGAAACUAAAGGAUUAUGGGAUCAGAAACAGAGAUGAGGUGACAUUCAUGAAGAGACUGAGGAAGAAGUGAAACGGAGGUACAGCAGUCUUCUGAACUACGAUCUCAUCUGAAAGAUGUUCACAGAUCUCACUACCGUGUGUAGUCCUGCCUACUCUGUGAGUUGCCUGCUCAGUCCCCGUUGCUUCAGACCUCUAUGUUUCAACCUGGAGAUGUACAGCAACUAUAGUCAUACACUGACAUGACUCAGAUGAUGUCUAAAAGGUUUUUCAAUGGACAUCUCAAACGUUUUUUUUUUUUUUUUUUUACAUGUCGUAGAUAUGAUUGUGUGGAAUGUUUCGUACGGUCUCAAUUGUUUAUUGUUUGGACAUAUUCUCUUGUCAUUUUGUACAGUAAAAUUGUGCCACUUCAAACAUGAAUAAAGGCUACAAUGCAACCAAA